AACGCACAUUGCGCCCGCUAGUAUUCUGGCGGGCAUGCCUGUUCGAGCGUCAUUUCAACCAUCAAGCCCCUGUGCUUGUGUUGGAGCCCUGCGGCUGCCGCAGGCUCCCAAACCCAGUGGCGGGCUCGUCGUCGUACCGAGUGCAGUAAACAUACCACGCUCAGGGCACGCGACGGGUGACCGGCCGUAAAACCCCCAACUUCUCAAGGUUGACCUCGGAUCAGGUAGGAAUACCCGCUGAACUUAA
rnacentral:misc_RNA from 1 species